UACGGUAGGGUGCAAGCGUUUAUCCGGAAUUAUUGGGCGUAAAGAGCUCGUAGGCGGUUUGUCGCGUCUGCUGUGAAAACUGGAGGCUCAACCUCCAGCCUGCAGUGGGUACGGGCAAACUAGAGUGCGGUAGGGGAGAUUGGAAUUCCUGGUGUAGCGGUGGAAUGCGCAGAUAUCAGGAGGAACACCGAUGGCGAAGGCAGAUCUCUGGGCCGUUACUGACGCUGAGGAGCGAAAGCGUGGGGAGCGAACAGG
rnacentral:rRNA from 1 species